UCGAGGGGAACGGCAACAUGAUUUUCGGAUGAUUUUUUGACGUCGAGCNGCGGACGGGUGAGUUAUGCUUAGGNAUUUGCCCAGUCGAGGGGGAUAACUAUNGAAACGAUAGCUAAUACCGCAUACGCCCUACGGGGGAAAAGAGGGGACCUUCGGGCCUUCUGCGAUUGGAUAAGCCUAAGUGAGAUUAGCUAGUUGGUGAGGUAAUGGCUCACCAAGGCGACGAUCUCUAGCUGGUCUGAGAGGAUGAUCAGCCACACUGGAACUGAGACACGGUCCAGACUCCUACGGGAGGCAGCAGUGGGGAAUAUUGCACAAUGGGCGCAAGCCUGAUGCAGCCAUGCCGCGUGUGUGAAGAAGGCCUUCGGGUUGUAAAGCACUUUCAGCAGUGAGGAAGGUGGUAGUGUUAAUAGCACUAUUAUUUGACGUUAGCUGCAGAAGAAGCACCGGCUAACUCCGUGCCAGCAGCCGCGG
rnacentral:rRNA from 1 species